rnacentral:lncRNA from 1 species
GAGCCUCACGGAUUUGCUCAUCACCCUCUGAACACCUGUUGCCUUCUCAUUCCUCUGUGUCUUUGCACAUCCUUUCCCCAACUUCGUGCCAGGCCAUUGCAUUGUGAUCCAGGCUCAGUCUUUGUUCUGCUUCGUGGUAUCACAGUCCCUUAUUUGAAACUGAACCAGGACUGGAGUCUUCAACUUUGACAUCAAAUUUGAUACCUCAGUGGCCCAAGCUUUCAGAAACUUGGAAUUGCAGAGAUUAUGGAUUUGGACCUGCCCUCAGAGGAGCUACCUACUGAAAUAUUUACAAGUGAAAUGAUGUGGGAUGUGGGAUUUGAUUCAAAAUGAUCCUUUAUGUAUGAAGAGUGGGGCAUGGAGAACGCAUGAAGAUACAGAUAAAAUAAACGUGUCUAUGGGUUAAUA